rnacentral:rRNA from 1 species
UACGUAGGGUGCGAGCGUUAAUCGGAAUUACUGGGCGUAAAGGGCGCGUAGGCGGCCUCCUAAGUCGGACGUGAAAGCCCCAGGCUUAACCUGGGAACUGCGUCUGAUACUGGGAGGCUUGAAUUCGGGAGAGGGAUGCAGAAUUCCAGGUGUAGCGGUGAAAUGCGUAGAUAUCUGGAGGAAUACCGGUGGCGAAGGCGGCAUCCUGGACCGACAUUGACGCUGAGGAGCGAAAGCUAGGGGAGCAAACGGG